rnacentral:rRNA from 1 species
UACGUAGGGAGCAAGCGUUGUUCGGAUUUACUGGGCGUAAAGGGCGCGUAGGCGGCGCGGUAAGUCACUUGUGAAAUCUCUGAGCUUAACUCAGAACGGCCAAGUGAUACUGCAGUGCUAGAGUGCAGAAAGGGCAAUCGGAAUUCUUGGUGUAGCGGUGAAAUGCGUAGAUAUCAAGAGGAACACCGGUGGCGAAGGCGGUUCUCUGGGCCUGUACUGACGCUGAGGAGCGAAAGCGUGGGGAGCGAACAGG